rnacentral:rRNA from 1 species
UACGUAGGGGGCUAGCGUUGUCCGGAAUCAUUGGGCGUAAAGAGCGCGUAGGCGGCCAGAUAAGUCCGGUGUGAAAGUCAAAGGCUCAACCUUUGAAUGCCGCUGGAAACUGUCUGGCUAGAGUCCGGGAGGGGCGAGUGGAAUUCCUGGUGUAGCGGUGAAAUGCGCAGAUAUCAGGAGGAACACCAAUGGCGAAGGCAGCUCGCUGGGACGGUACUGACGCUAAGGCGCGAAAGCGUGGGGAGCAAACAGG